rnacentral:rRNA from 1 species
AUUGAACGCUGGCGGCAUGCCUUACACAUGCAAGUCGAACGGUAACAGGUCUUCGGAUGCUGACGAGUGGCGAACGGGUGAGUAAUACAUCGGAACGUGCCCGAGAGUGGGGGAUAACGAGGCGAAAGCUUUGCUAAUACCGCAUACGAUCUCAGGAUGAAAGCAGGGGACCGCAAGGCCUUGCGCUCACGGAGCGGCCGAUGGCAGAUUAGGGAGUUGGUGGGAUAAAAGCUUACCAAGCCGACGAUCUGUAGCUGGUCUGAGAGGACGACCAGCCACACUGGGACUGAGCCACGGCCCAGACUCCUACGGGAGGCAGCAGUGGGGAAUUUUGGACAAUGGGCGCAAGCCUGAUCCAGCCAUGCCGCGUGCAGGAUGAAGGCCUUCGGGUUGUAAACUGCUUUUGUACGGAACGAAAAGACUCUAGUUAAUACCUGGGGUCCAUGACGGUACCGUAAGAAUAAGCACCGGCUAACUACGUGCCAGCCGCCGCGGUAAAAC